AUGGCAACACAACCCACCUACCACACCGUCGACAUUGGGGCUACGAAUGGUGAUGUCAAGCCGGCGGCUGAUGGCAAGACCUGUGUGACCCAGAAGGUGUUGUCGGUGUCGGCGAACCUGGUGCAGCUGCUGCCGACGGGGUCGGUGAUGGCGUACCAGAUGCUGGCACCGUCCUUCAGCAACCAGGGCAAGUGCUAUCCCUCCAACUGGUGGAUCACACUCGGGCUUGUCAUCGUGCUCGCCGCCUCCUGCGUCUUCUUCGCCUUCACUGACUCCAUCAUCCACAAAGGUAAGGUGUAUUACGGGAUAGCCACGUUGGGGGGCAUCAACUUAUUCAACAUAUCGAAGGAUGACCAGAAGAAGGAGUUCAAAGACAUGGAGAACGAGAUCAAGAAGCGGUGUAUCAAGAAGCAGGACUUUUCUCAGGCCUUCCUCACCGUUGUCGUCUUCCUCACCAUGACCUUCAGCGACGUCGGGCUCCAGAACUGCUUCUUUCCCAAGGCCGGCACCGACGCCCAGCAGCUGCUCAAGAACCUGCCACUGGGAAUGGCCGUCUUCUCCAGUCUAGUCUUCACCAUCUUCCCAAGCAAAAGGAACUUCAUCGGAUGCACCGACCCAAACGGUGACGGCCACAAGGAUAUCAUGCAAAGUCAACUUGAGUCGUCAUCGACUUCCACUGCUACAACUUCAUGCCCUAGAUGUGCUCGCUAA
rnacentral:rRNA from 1 species